rnacentral:rRNA from 1 species
GGACACGUGAAAUCCCGUCGGAAUCUGGGAGGACCAUCUCCCAACCCUAAAUACUCCCUAGUGACCGAUAGUGAACCAGUACCGUGAGGGAAAGGUGAAAAGCACCCCGGGAGGGGAGUGAAAUAGAACCUGAAACCGUGUGCCUACAAGUAGUCAGAGCCCGUUAAUGGGUGAUGGCGUGCCUUUUGUAGAAUGAACCGGCGAGUUACGAUUUGAUGCAAGGUUAAGUUGAAGAGACGGAGCCGUAGGGAAACCGAGUCUGAAUAGGGCGCCUUAGUAUCAUGACGUAGACCCGAAACCAUGUGACCUACCCAUGAGCAGGUUGAAGGUGCGGUAAGACGCACUGGAGGACCGAACCAGGGCACGUUGAAAAGUGCUUGGAUGACUUGUGGGUAGCGGAGAAAUUCCAAACGAACUUGGAGAUAGCUGGUUCUCUCCGAAAUAGCUUUAGGGCUAGCGUCGAUGUUAAGUCUCUUGGAGGUAGAGCACUGUUUGGGUGAGGGGUCCAUCCCGGAUUACCAAUCUCAGAUAAACUCCGAAUGCCAAUGAAUUAUGGUCGGCAGUCAGAC